rnacentral:tRNA from 1 species
AUACACCUGGGCCAGUUCGGCCAGGCGCUGCGGGCUGUUUACUUGCUCGCCAAGGAGGGCUUGGCUGCCGGCGCGUUCGAUUCGCUCGGCGAUUCC